UUAUCCCUUCUCCCCAGAGGGGUAAACACAAGGCUCCAUCUUGGAGGAAAACAUGGCCUCAGCAGACAUCAGGCUGCCAGCACCAUGACUUCAGCCGCUCCAGCCUCCUGAGCGCCCAUAUCAAGGGUCUCUGAGGCUCAGAAGCCCAGAGAUGUCUCUGACUCCAAGGGCUGUGCCAACCUGUUGAAUGCUCUGAAGAUCGUCUGAUGACAUGCUGACACAGGACCAGAUGAUCAUGGCUGUCUUCCACGUGUGUCUUUGAACAUGCUCAGAUCCAAAGGGAAUUCACUUGGAGGGAAAUAAAAUGCAUGAGUCUGA